AUAGCGUAUAGUACUGUGAAGGAAAGGUGAAAAGCACCCCGGGAGGGGAGUGAAAAAGAACCUGAAACCCUGUGCCUACAAGCACCUAGAGCGCGUCAAAGCGUGAUAGGGUACUUUUUGUAGAACGGUCCGGCGAGCGAUUGUAUGCAGCAAGGUUAAGGACUUAAGGUCUGGAGCCGAAGCGAAAGCGAGUUUGAAAAGGGCGUUAAGUUGCAUAUAAUGGGCCCGAAACCGGGUGACCUACCCAUGGUCAGGUUGAAGUGGAAGUAAAAUUCCAUGGAGGACCGAACCGACCUCCGUUGAAAAGGCGGCGGAUGAACUGUGGGUAGCGGAGAAAUUCCAAUCGAACCCGGAGAUAGCUGGUUCUCCCCGAAAUAGUUUUAGGACUAGCCUCAAGUUAGAUACCUGGAGGUAAAGCACUGAAUAGCCUAGCGGCCGAGAGGUUAGCGAAGCUUAUCAAACUCAGAAUGCCAGAGUAUUGAUGCUUGGGAGUCAGACAGUGUCAGAUAAAUGUCAUUGUCAAAAGGGAAACAGCCCAGAUCUACAGCUAAGGUCCCAAAGUCAGGUUAAGUGGAAAACGAUGUGAAGAUACGCAGACAACCAGGAUGUUGGCUCAGAAGCAGCCACUCAUUCAAAGAGUGCGUAAUAGCUCACUGGUCGAGCGUCUUUGCGCGGAGAAUUUAACGGGGCUAAACCUGACACCGAAGCUUAGGCAAUACAGCAAUGUAUUGGGUAGGGGAGCGUUGUAUACGCGGAGAAACAGUAGCGCAAGCGGCUGUGGAGUGUAUAGAAGUGAGAAUGCCGGAAUGAGUAGCGCGAAUGCAGUGAGAAUCUGCAUGGCCGAAAGCCUCAGGUUUCUGGAGGAAGGUUCGUCCGCUCCAGGUUAGUCGGGAGCUAAGGUGAGGCCGGAAGGCGUAGCCGAUGCACAGACGGUAGAGAUUCCGUCACCACCAAAAGAGUUAAGCACAGGGACACAUAUGAAGUCUCAGAGCCGGGUGUUGGUUCCGGUAGAGAUCGAGGGAAGUUAGUACCGAAGUCUGAGAUGGAAGAUGGCGAGAAAAGCUGUGUGUAUUUCUGAGGUGCCCGUACCGCAAACCGACACAGGUAGGUAGGAAGAAGAUUCUAAGGCCAACGGGAGAAGGGUUGUUAAGGAACUCGGCAAAUUGACCCCGUAACUUCGGGAGAAGGGGUGCUCCAGAGAUGGAGCCGCAGAGAAUCGGCCCAAGCAACUGUUUACCAAAAACACAGGUUUGUGCUAAAUCGAAAGAUGACGUAUACGAGCUGACGCCUGCCCGGUGCUGGAAGGUUAAGAGGAGAUGUGCAAGCAUUGAAUCGAAGCCCCAGUGAACGGCGGCCGUAACUAUAACGGUCCUAAGGUAGCGAAAUUCCUUGUCAGGUAAGUUCUGACCCGCAUGAAAGGCGUAAUGAUUUGGGCACUGUCUCAACAGCCCGCCCGGCGAAAUUGUAGUACCGGUGAAGAUGCCGGUUACCCGCGACAAGACGGAAAGACCCCAUGGAGCUUUACUGUAGCCUAAUAUUGGGUUUCGAUGUUGCAUGCACAGGAUAGAUGGGACACUGGGAAACAGGAGCUUUGGCUUUUGCGGAGUGGCCGUUGGGAUACCAUCCUUGCGAUAUUGGAAUUCUAACCUGCGGCUCUGAAUCGAGUCGGGGGACAUUGUUAGGUGGGCAGUUUGACUGGGGCGGUCGCCUCCUAAAGAGUAACGGAGGCGUUCAAAGGUUCGCUCAGCUUGAACGGAAAUCAAGCAAAAGAGUGCAAACGCAGAAGCGAGCCUAACUGCGAGACUGACGGGUCGAGCAGUAACGAAAGUUGGAGUUAGUGAUCCGGUGGUAUGUGAGUGGAAAUGCCAUCGCUCAACGGAUAAAAGUUACCCUGGGGAUAACAGGCUGAUCUCCCCCAAGAGUCCACAUCGACGGGGAGGUUUGGCACCUCGAUGUCGGCUCAUCGCAUCCUGGGGCUGUAUUCGGUCCCAAGGGUUUGGCUGUUCGCCAAUUAAAGCGGUACGCGAGCUGGGUUCAGAACGUCGUGAGACAGUUCGGUCCCUAUCUGUCGUGGGCGCAGGAUAUUUGAUGGGAGCUGUCCCUAGUACGAGAGGACCGGGACGGACGUACCUCUGGCGCACCAGUUGUUCCGCCAGGAGCAUAGCUGGGCAACUACGUACGGAUCGGAUAAACGCUGAAAGCAUCUAAGCGUGAAGCCGACCCAAAGAUAAGAUAUCCCACUGAUUCAAUCAGGUAAGAUCCCUUGUAGACUACGAGGUUGAUAGGCACGAUGUGUAAGUGGAGUGAUCCAUUCAGCAAGUGUGUACUAAUAGAUCGAGGGCUUGACCAC
rnacentral:rRNA from 1 species